rnacentral:lncRNA from 1 species
AGUUUCCCAAGAAUUAAUAAUUUUUUUUCACAUCGCCGACACGCUUUUUGUGUGAUUGGACCAAAGGCUUCUCAAUAAAAUUAUCUCAAACUAUCCCCUUUCAUCUGUUCUAUAAUCUAUUAUUCAUCCUCCAUACAAAUUUUCUCCACAGAGUCUCCCGAUUCGAAUAUUCAAAAACAACAAGUCAACAACGAUGGGUGAUUUUGAUAAGCGGUUGAAGGAGAGAGCUAAGGAUCUCAAGAAGUUUUUCAGUAAGGGAUCGAAGAUCAUUAACUCCUGCAAAAAGGGCUGGCUCAAAAUCAAGCACCUUCGCAAAUGAUUUCUCUCUUCUGUUCCUCGGUACUCUGAUUAUGAAUAUGAUUGCUGUGUUUUUAACUUUUUAUUCUCGAGUUUAUAUUUGAUUGAUUUGCUCUCGAUGUAUCCUUAGUUCUGGAAGAUUUUGAAUGUUGUAGUUUGGGAUUUUAUUGGUCAAGCACGCUAGCUAGCAAAUUAAAUAUCAUCUCCAACUUCUUCUCUUGUGUUCAUUGGUUCUUCAUUGUUCAUGUUUAUGAUUUGAUCUAUAAUUUCUGAGUAAUUUGAUGUUGGAACUUAGUAAAUUUGAAUUUUAGAGUUUUAUUGGAGGCCUGCGAUCAUUCACACUCGGAAACCAUUUCGUCUUUCGGUUGUGGUUUUUGUGAUUUUGUUUCAGUUUAUAUUUUUGUCUAUCCUUCGUCAUGUAUUCAGCCAUUCGGGUUUUACCUGUUCGUUAAACAAAUUAAUUUUGGAUUAUGAUCAUAUAAAGGAUACGUAACACGAAUUCGAAUUUAUGAUCGAGAACUUCAAAUUGGGAUUAUGACCAACUCAUGAUAGAAAUAAAAUAAGUAAAAGUUAUUAUGAUAAAAAAUGGCCAUUAAAAAUAUGAAAUUAUCAUUUUAUAAUCAGCUUUAAAAUGAUCAUCUUGUCCAAAAUGAUGCAUUACGCAUUUAUUAUGUUUUGAUCAUAAUACCCUUUUAAAUUUGCAAGAGUACUUUGUAUAUAGAUACCCCCAAACCUUUUGCUGGAUCAUUUCUUCAAAACAUGGGUAGGGUCCCAAAGUUCUUCACUGAAAAUAAUUACGGUUUGAUUCUUUCAAUUGAAUGCUGAAUUCUUAGUUGACUAAUAGCUAAUAAGUUUGAUUUACCAAAUAUAUUUAAAUUGAAAAUUGUUUCUUUAUGAGAAACAAUUCAGCCUGUUGUUUUUGUUUUCUAUCGUUUAAUCGCUAAUUUGUCACUGCAUUAGUGCAUUUGAUUAUUAUAAUACUUUUGAGAGAAAUAUUGAUAUUAACAAGUUGGAGAAAUGCAUUUCUAUUUCCAUUUUAAGCAUGUUCUUGUAACCAAAGCCAUAAGCGAUAUAUUAAUACUUUAAUAGAGCCUAUGCAAAUCAAGAAAACAAUUAAAGAAAAUUCAAUAAGACAAUAAGUGAAUAAGACAAUAAGUGACUGGAGUUUGCUACAGACAAACUACUGAUAAAGUGAAGAGUCCAGGGGCUCUUUGUUUUUUUAAGAAAAAAACACUUUUGAUGCUUUUGGUUGCGCUGCAUAUCAUUUGUUCGUUGUUUAUUUUUAAAAAAUUUAUGACUUAAAAACUGUUAUGCUAAAAAAUUUCUGAGUUAAAAUCUGUUGUGCUAAUGCUAAUGCUAAUGUGACACAACAUUGGACCCUAAUCUUCAAACUACUUCUCAAUCUUACUUUAAGUUAUAUUAUUGGGAUAAUAAUUUGAAAGAGUGCGGACUUUUAAUUUUGUUCACAUUUAGUCACUAAGUUUUUUAAAAUUUUUGAUUUACCUCUGGGUUAUAAGGAUAAAAUGUGAAUAACUUCAAAUAAUUCAGAGUAAAUCAAACGUAGAAAGUUCAAUGACUAAAUAUAAAAGUUUAUUAACCUUUCAAGUCAUUAUCCCAUAAAUAAGUUCUUUUAUCUUGGUAAACCACAAUGUUAUGUUCUCUAUUUGAAGACUUCUUAAUAAAUUUCAUUAUAUUAUUUUAUAUGGGUGUAUGGUUUAACUUUUAAGAUUUAAAAAAUAUAUUUGCUUUCACGACAAGAUUUAAAGGCAUAACGAACGACAUAUGUCGUCGUUGAAGGUAUCAAGAGUAGCCGUAAUUACCUUUAAUGAUAACAUGCCGCAGUUAAUAUGUCAUUGAUAAUGCUUCAUUGGAACUUUCACGUACUUGUAUCUCUUGAUAUAGCUUGAAAUUGAUAUUUUGUAUAUAAUGCGCACAAGUAGUGUUGCGUUCACAACACUUCGUUGUAAAUAGCAUAACAGUUUGUAAUAUAUAUAAAAUACAAGAAUUAUUGUAAUAUGUAGUUGGAUAAAGGAUGUCACAUUAUAACAUAUAAAAUUGUAUUGUAAUAAUAAAUAGAAACAUAAAACAUGGAAUGAAUAAAGAAACUCUAGGUAAAAGUUUAUCUCAUGGACUAGGAUUAAAGCCAUGAACUAUAACAUGAUUAUGUGGUACAUAUUUUGUUUUGUAAUACUUCUUACAAACACAAACGUAGUUACUGAAAUCAAAAUUAUUAAUCUAAAUAAUUGCUACCAAUAGGAAAAAUAAACUACAGGAUGAUUACAAAAAUAGAUAUUCACUUAAAAAGGUAACAAACUUUGAACUUUAGAUAUUGACUUCCCACACAUAGCGAGUUCCUUAGUAUCCUCGUGACUUCCUUGACUUGAGUACGGAUCAUGUGAUUCUAGUAGUACAGGUUCAAUACUAUCUUCCACACCUAUCCGUACUUUUCUCAAAAGUCGUCCCGAUUCCCCUAAGUAACUCCCUAAAUUCCAACAUUCCACAAUCUCACUAAACCACACAUUUGCUAAUGCUAACAUGCUUCCUAGGUUAUCCUAGGAUUCCCUUCCCACCACUCUCCGCCAUCAGCUGCAGAAGAACCCCCACUAAUACCCGUUAGCUACCUUACGAAUAUAAUUACAUGCAACAAACACUAGAUAAUUCUUCGAUUGCAAGGUCCCACACUACAAUGGUUGGACUAAAACAAGAGUUGUGCAAUAGAGUUAAACCUAACCUUAUAAAAUUAUCUAAUUUCUGCAACAUGUAACCUAGCAUAUUCACUUAUAGUUAACUAGUAUUAGUAGUGACUCCUAAAAAUACAAAGCAAGCAACAUUCGAGGAUUGAGUUCUAACCAGAGCACUGCCUAACAGGACAUCUUAACAUGUCAUUACCAAUCCAUACUAGCAUGCAGUUAUAGAGGCUCAUACAAUAAGCAUACAGAGGGAUCUCUCCUAUCACACAAUUCCGAGCAGAUCCUUAGCCCUAAUCUAGCAUGCUAUUCAUAUAUUCACAUAUUGAAUCAAAAAACAUAUAUGGGUAUUUUGGAAACACUUACUUGAGCUUGGCCGAUUGCAUGAAUCACACCCAUUCUUUCUAGUAGUAAUUUUUUUAGAAAAUCAUUUCUUUUAUGAAAAACUUACCAAAUCCUCAGUGUGAGUUCAAACACACCCGAGAGUGUGUCCGAAUCCCUCAUACCAACUUGUAACAUCCCAAAAAUAAUAAGUAAAAUUUUCGUUUUUAUGUCAACCAAAAUAGUCAAUAUUCAUAUAAAACCAUCAAAAGUAUGUUAGUAUGAAAAUACUUAUCAUAGUGUAAUCCCAAAAUCAUAAAAAUGCUAGACACGGGUGGAUACACUGCGAUCAGGCCGAGCUCUUCCCUAUCGAACCGGAAGUACCUGAACAUAAAAUUAAACCGUAAGCACAAAGCUUAAUGAGUUCCCCAAAAUACCAUAUACCAUACAAUUAAUGGGCCUCACCCAAUGAGUAUAAUGGGCCUCGCCCUAACUCGUAUAACGGGCCCCGCCCAAUGAGUAUAACAAGCCUUACCCUAACUCGCACAACGACCCUGUCCUAACAUAUAAAACAUGCAAGUAUCACACAUACAACUAGCAUCCUACAAACAUAAUCUAGUGGGCCGACAUUGGUGCCUUCAACACAUGAGUAUAGUGAAAAGACUCACCUCAGUCUGAUGAUAUACAGCCACACACACAAGGUGAUGCUACAAUGGCUCGUCGCACUGAAUACAUUCAAACCAACCCUAACCACUAUUUAGGGUAAUAACCCACAUUUAAAGGCACAGAUCAUAAUCCUUCUUACAAAGGGUAAAAUAACCUUUUACCCUUCCUACUCUGGGCCCAAAUAACCAUGACCCAAGGCCAAAACUGGCCCAAGGCCCAAAGGGUUUCAGGUGAGUACGUUGUGCGUACACCCUAUGUACGUACAUCUUCUUCACCAAAUGGAAACAUGGCUAAACCCGUUACACCGAGCGUACCAGAAGGGUACGACCAACGUACUUGUCAGAAGUCCAAAAAUUGCUAUUAAGCUCUUAAUGCUUAAAGAGCUUUCAUCCAACUCAAAUAUCUCAACCUAAGGGACAUAUUUAUUGAUAAAGUCGACAACUUGAUGCCUUUUCAUGGCUUAAUAAGGCACAAAUCCAAACCCUAAGUCCAAAGUACACUCUAAUGACCAAAAUCACAUGCAUGGAUGAAUGGGAGUGUCCAAGCUCCCAUUUUUAUGACUUCACUAAGUCAAAGAUGACAAGAAAUGACACGCAUUACGUUUAGAGUAACCUAUUCCUCAAAAGUCCAAAUCUUGGGACCAAAAGCAUAACAUAACAUGGACCAAUUCUAGAUCUAGAAAAAAAACAUAAAGGUAUAAGUGAUGGGUUUCGAGCAAUACAUCAAUCCUAUGGUGUACAUGCAAACCCUAAUAGCUUUUAGAUCUAGUUUGUCUAAUGAACAUGCAAUUGAAUAUCCAAGGCUAUAAACCCUAGAUCUAGCAUAUAAUUAAUCAUAUUAACAUAAAAUAGGGUUUAGAUCUGACCUUUGAUUGUUAUAUAGCAAUAACAAUCAAUUCUUAGCUUCAGAAAGCUUAGUGCCUCAAGUGUUGCACCUCUAAUGAAAUCAAAAACACCACUAAGCAACAAGAAUGAAGAGGAAAGAGAGGGGAGGCACCAAAAAUGGCUGGAAACCCUAAUCCAAGUGUUAGCACCGUUUUUGGUGCAUAGAGGGCCUUUAUAUACAUGUAGGCUAUUAGGGUUUACAACUAGGAAACCCUAAUCUGGCUGCUUAAUCCCUAAGCAGCCCAUGGACUCCUUUAACAUAUCCCUUGGACGAAUUCUUAAUGGGCUUCCCAUAGAAUUCUUCCAACCUAUAUUAUUUAGGUAAUCCAUAGCCCAAUUGCAAUUAUCUUAUAAUUACAAAUCCAGUCCCCUAAGUUUAAUUAAUCUCUUUUAGCCACACAAUUAAUUAUCAAUUAAUUCUUGACUAAUAUUAAUUAAACAAUAUGAUUUCUCCUUUAAUAUAUUAUUAUUAUAAUAUAUUAAUAAAUCACAAUUAAACCUUUCCCUCCUUAAUUCAGCCUACAUAUUGCUAUGGUGAAGGCAACCCAAAAGGACCAUGCUCAUAAUCGGGUCAAGUACAUACCAAAAUAGUUAUGGACUUAGACACUAAUCCAACAGUCUCCCAUUUGGAUAAGUCUAAUAACUAUUUUCCGUAUGAGUUCAGACCCUGAUCAGCAAUCAUAGCUUUCAAAAGCCGUUGUCAACUCUGAUCUUAUCAGAUACGCGUGUCCUUUAGAUAAGGGAUCAUAUAUUCCUCCAUUCUCAAGAUAUCGUAUAGACACAAGACAUGAAUUCCGAUCAUUCUCUCUAUACUGUUUACCGACUUCAGAUUUAUGACGACUGACAACAGACUACAAUUGAACACAUCAACUUAGUCCCGACUUGGCCAAGCGCUUAGGUGUCAUCACUAAAUCAUCGAAGGGCCCAUAGAUAUCGCUUUUAUCCCACUUUGGGCAAAAGGAAUGGAUCAACUUCGACUCAAAUGCUUGCUUGCAAUUACUAAUCGAAUCACACACAAUAAUAAGUUUUAUAACACCAAGUUACUGGUGCGUUUACUUAUUAUAAAUGUGCAACCGACCAACAAAAAACAACUCAUACAUCUCGGUUACAAGAAUAUACAAUAUUAUUGACUCACAAUCACUUGUGAUAAAAUCCAUAAAGUGAUUCUCGUGAGCGUGGGUUUAAUCCAAUACUGUAAUCUUAUCAAAGCACUCAUGAACUCUGCAGCAAACUUGUGCUAUGUCUAAACACUCUAGACAAUCUACAGACUCUUCAUGACAGUCUUGCUUCAUACCUACUUCCAAAGUAUGACCGACUGUGGAGGUUUGAAUAACCAAGUUAUUCUGGAAGUCAAAACAUGCAAAAUUUAAACACAAUAAUAAUACUUAAUCCUAUAUGGCCCCAAACUUGUGAGAGUAAAUAAAACACUUCUAUUUAACCACCAUAUUGAUUACUCAUUAUUUAUCCUUUACUGUUUCAGAAAAUCAACUUAUUACUCAAAUUACAACAAUAGCUAUCCCAUGCACAAAGCAUGCACACUAUGUUUCCUAUGGUCCUUACUUUGUAAAAUAGAGAAAUUGAAAAACUUUUCCAAUGAUGCUCAUUUCACAAUUCCCAAUCCUUAUCAUUAGUGUUAGAACACAGGUUCUUGCCACUACUAGAAUAUGAUAAAUUCUAACAUUUUAUGCAACGAUCCUUUCGCAAAAUCAUAGCACAAAAGUCACCAAGACCUAGCCAAUGAAAUUACAAAGUACUCUAUCGGAAAUUGUUACAAGACAAUUCCAUAGACGUGAAGUCUCACAUUCAAAGAAAAUUCCUUUGAACAUCCUUCUUGCAUAAAGUUUUCUAAUCUAGACAUAGACUCUCAAUUUCCAACUCCCAAUAUGGAAACAUUUCCAUAUUUCCAUAUGACAACUCAUUCUUAAUAGAAUCUUAUCUAUUCAUAAUAAUGUCGAUAUGGUCCAUCCAAUACCAUACUUCCAAUUACUCACAAGCGACCAAUCCUCAGCGAACUUUGGAUCAUCCUUUGAUAGUUGUUUAAUUAUUUUAGUCAAAACCGAUUCUAGUUCUUUUUCCCUCUUAAUGUGCUAGACAUUUGGAAAAUUUUUGAAUGGUCAAAUAUUAUAGCAUUUGCAAUCGAUCCUAUACCCGAAGCGUAUGGGACACGAUGCAUAAAGUCUUACAUAAAUAUAUGAUACUUUAUCAAUCUUCUGCCAUAAUAUUUUUGUGUCACGUUCUCACAAUUCGAACUAUGAAGAGGGAUUCCGUAAUCAUAAUCGAAAUUUAAGAACACACUAUGUAUCCUUUGACUAAAUUUAUUAAAAUUUCUCAAUCUAAGCUUUAGAUUUUGAAACGAACUAUAAUAUUCUUUCCCUUAAUUAUAGCAAAAACAAAUUUUCAACCAAUGCAACUUUGCAAAUUGAAUCUUGUUUUUUCUAUAAUUAAUAUUGCUAACUUGAAAUACUUGCCAUAAUAAUCAUAAAAACAUAACACUUAUGCUCCCACUGUCAUGAUGAUUAUUAUCAUAUAAGCAUAACACUUAUGCUCCCACUAGCUUUUAUAACAUCCCAGAAUUCAGAAGUAAAGUGGAAGGGCUAAAGGUGUAAAUAAGAAGGUCGACUCGGCGAGUCGAUGGAUGGACUCGGCGAGUCUAGUCGCGUUACGUUUCGCGUGUUAAGUGACCAACUCGGCGAGUCACAUGGGUAGACUCGGCGAGUUGGUGCUGUGUGGAGAAAACCCUAAUCCCAGGGGUUCAGCCCUAUAUAAAGAACAUAAUACCCUCUCCCCAGCCUCUUUACUCUCCCCUAAAGUCCAGAAACCCUAACAUUCGUUUGUGAGAGAAUUAGAGAGCAUUUGGACCUUGAAGGAGCGUUUGUUAAAGAGAUCCUUGAAGAUUAAGAGGCUUGGAGCAAGGGGCUUUGCAAGGUUUUGGCUUAUUCUUCUGUUGGAGUCUUCUCUUGAGGUAAUGAUUCGUUGCUUGAGCUGUUAUCCAUCUAGAUCUAUCAUUUGUGGGAUUUUUGGGAGUAUAUCUAGUGCUAUCUUGAGCUUGGAGGUUGGAUCUGAGGUUGCUACCUCAGAUCUAGUGUAGUGAUGAUCCAAAGGAGCAUAAAGUCCCUGUUGAAGAGUUGUUGAUGAAGCCUUUUAGUCCCAAACCCUAGCCCUAGAGUCUAUUAUGCUUAGAUCUCCUUGGAUUCACGUAAAGUUUGCCACUUUACAUGUUGGAUGGCUUGUAGAAGAGUAGAUCUAUGGAUUUGAGACCCUGCAUGGCUUGAAAAGCCUCUAUAUGGGUUAAGAGCUAGUGGUACUCGGCGAGUCACAUGGGUGUACUCGGCGAGUUGCUUGAAGAUAGGCAGCAACUCGACGAGUUGGAAGAACAACUCGGUGAGUUGGUUGAAGAUAGCCUUGGACUUGGCGAGUCUGUUCUUGGACUCGGCGAGUCUGGUCGUGAGGUCCUAACCUUUCCUGGUUGAGCUGUGAAUCGGUGAGUCAAGGGACGACUCGGUGAGUUGAGCAGGAAGUGACUCAGAGUUCGUGGGACUCGGCGAGUCUUGGGGCGACUCGGCGAGUUGGGUCGCGAUAUGGGAAUUUUCAGAGUUGAGGGACUCGACGAGUCAGCGGGCUGACUCAGCGAGUAGGGUCAGUCAGGAAGUUUGACUUUGACUGAGGACUUUGACUUUGACCAAGAGUUGACCGGUUGACUUCCAGGGUAAUUUGGUAAUUAUUGGUAUUUAUUGAGUUCAGUCUUUUGGUAUUGUCAGUGGUGGAGUUCGUGUUAGAGGUUGGAGCAGCGUGAUCUUAUCUUUUCAGUCAGCAGUUGCGAGGUGAGUUAUCCUCACUAUAUCAACAUGGUCUAAGGCACCAAGGCCGACCCUUUAUCGGAUUGUUAUGUUAUUGCUUUGCUAUGUUUGCAUCCUGGUAGUUAGGAUGGUAUAUGCUAGUAACUGGUUAGGUCGGUAUCCUGGUUAGGGUGAUGUGAUGUUAUGUGAUCUGCUAGAUCGGUUUGAUUGGAUGCGAAUUAUUAUAUGAUUGUAUGUCUAUGUGCAAAUGGUUGAUGUACUGUGGGUUGGGUUGAGGCGGGUCCUGCUUUGUGUUGUAGGCUAACAUACCCAGGGCGGACCGGUUAACCCGAAGGCCCAACGAGUGGUCUGGAUAGGUUGUAGGCCCGCGGGGGCGGACCAGACGUGCCGAGGCUCGGAGAGUGGACCAGGCCGACUGAAGGCCCGGUGCGGGCGGACCAGUCAUACUGUAGACUCAGAGAGUGGACCAGGUAGGUUGAAGGCCCGGUGCGGGCGGACCAACCACACUGCAGACUCGAUGGAUAUGGCUAGACUCGGAGGGUGGACCAGGUGGACUGAAGGCCCGGUAGGGCGGACCAGUCACACAGUAGACCUGAAGUGCAUGGCUGUUCUGUUCGGUUAUGAUAUGUUAUGCGUGGUAUAUGUGGUUGGUAUUUUGGGGGUAUCUCACUAAGCUUUCAGGCUUACAGUUGUGGUUUAAUGUUUUUCAGGUACUUCAGAAGACCGUGGCAAGGCGAAGGCGUGAUCGUACCGCUCCUCAUUUUUAUGUUUUACAAUAUGGUUCUUGGAAGACUCUGAUUAUAAUUGUAUUGAAAACCUUUUUGUAAUGACUUAACGAAACUGGGUUGUUUGUGAAAAGUUUAAAUUGGCUUGAAUUUUUAGAGUGUUACAAGUUGGUAUCAGAGCCUUGGUUUGAGUGAAUUGGAGGAACAUUCGUGUGAAUCCAGUCUCAAAUCAAGGAGAGUUUUCAAAAUGAGUAAAAGAGGACGUGGAGGUACGAUCAGCCGGAGCCAGUAAGUAGCCCCAAAAUACCAUGCAAGUUAUUUGUUUAUGUGAUAUGAUAGAACAGCAUGCUAGUACUAGGCUAGGGAUCUUCAGGAAUUGCAUGAUAGUGUUGCCUGAUUUGUGAUGCCUGCUAGCCUAGGGUUUCUUUCUGUAUGAGAUUUCAAGUGUUCCUCUAGGAGUGGGGGUUGAGUGCUUGGUAUGUCUGUUCUUCACUAGGGUGUUGUGGUGAUACUUGGUAUAAAUAUGGGUAGGUGUGGAAGGUAGUAUGGGCCCAUUCUAUUGAAAGCAUAGGACCCAUACGCAUAUCAAGGAAGUCACAACCCCUAGGGCGGUGUUGAGAGUCGGUUCCUGGGUUAGUGGGAGGUAUCUGAUGUUUGCGGUAUUUUCUUUCAGUAUGGUGGUUACGAGGCAUGCUGGGAGCGGAUCUGGAUCAGGAUCGGGAGCAGGAGAGGGCGGUCAGGGUGUGUCAGAACCACCCGAGGUUAUCGGUCAGAUGAGCACAUACGAGUUGGAUGCUAGGAUUCGUGAGAUCCUGCAUGAUGAGGUUGCUGCGAUGUUCCGGGCUGAGUUGCUGGAACUGUUUGGGUCGAUCAAGACCGCUAUGGUUGAGUAUUUUGAUGAGCGUUAUGCAGAUCUUACAGAGACGGCUGCCGCGGUAGCUACAACGGCUGGGGGGGGGGGCGGUNNNNNNNNNNNNNNNAACGGCAGGGGGAGGAGCCGUUAGAGGUUUUCAGUAUCGGGACUUCGAUAAUACGAAGCCACCUACCUUCGAUGGAGUUCAGGACUCGAUUUUUGCUAUGAGAUGGUUAUCAGACGUGGAGGGGUGUUUCUUCACGUGCUCAUGCCCUGCUGAUCAGAGGGUGAGGUGUGCUCUGAACCUUUUGAGGCUCGGGGCGAAGGAUUGGUGGAGGUUGACCACGGGAUCGUAUUCUGAUGCGCAGCGAGCUGCGGUUUCUUGGGAUCAAUUCAGAGAGAUGUUCAGUACUUGCUAUGUUCCGCGAGUUGAGAGGGAGAGAUUAGCUCAUGAGUUCCUGGAGCUGAAGCAGGAUUCCGAGUCGGUGACGGAGAUCACCAGGAUGUUCACUGAGAGGGCGAUGUUUUGCCCUGAGUUUGUUUUUGAGCAGGCCCAGAUGACCCGAUAUCUGAGUAUGCUGAAGAGGGAUAUCAGGCAGUUUGUGUCUAUGCAGAGGUGCGAGACAUUGUUGGAGUUGCAGGAAGCCGAUAGGCGGCGCGAGUUAGAGAUCGAGUUGCAAUUGAGAGAACAGAGGCAGGCUUCGGUACAGUCGCAACCGGCGCCGAAAAGGUCUAAGACCAUUGAUUUCAGUUUGAGAAGUCAGAGCAACCACACUUGUGAGAAGUGAGGGAAGGGUCAUGUCGGAGCUUGUAGGUCCGGUGGUGCAUGCCGCAAGUGCGGGAGAGAGGGGCACUACGCGAGGGAUUGUUGUCAGUCAGCCCCAACCCAGGAUAUGAGGAUUUGCUAUCAGUGUCAUCAGGUUGGUCACAUGAUGGCCAACUGUCCACGGCUGGUUGGGAGGUCGGUGCGGGCUCUAGCAGCGGCCACAUUGAGGAUUAUGGGUGGAGGUCAGGGUGGAGCAGAGUCUCCGAGGGCUCAGGGUCGUGCUUUUCAGCUUACAGCAGAGGAGGUCAGGGCAGUGCCGGAUGCAGCUGCGGGUAUGUUUCCUUUUUGAUAUUAUGUUAUCUUGUGAUUAUUAUGGAGUAUUGUAUAUCUGCUAGUCUCGUUGUGUGAUUUUUGGUAUUUUAUUUGUUGUUCCUUGAGGGUUAUGGUAUGGUUAAGGGUUUUGGUAUUGGGAGUUUCGUUGGUCAUCAUCCAUGGGGAUUAUUAGUGGGAAAUCAGGCUUUUGGUGGGAAUGUCGGGUAGCAUCUGCAGUCUGAUGAGUGGUUAGCUGAAGGUCGGGCUUCUUUCAAGUCCGAGAUGAUCAGUGUUGAUAUGUGAUUUUGUGAAGGUUGUUCGUUCUAGUGGGAAUCAGUUUGCGUGUAAGGGAAUGUGUUGUGUAAGGAUGUUAAGGGAGGUCGGUUAUGGCGACUAGUGGUUGAUAGUCCGAGCUCUAGGUGGGGGAGAAUUGGAAAAUUCUCCAGAAGAUCAACAAGCAUGAGAGGUUGAUUAGCUGUCUGGGAUUCAACAGCGGUUCUGUUAGCCAAGAGCGUAGGCUGGUAUGAGCAAGUGACAAGAAAGCGGGGCGGGAUGCAGACCAAGGGUUUUGUAAAAAGGGCGAUUGAUUGUUGAAGGCCUGGGAUCAGGCCGGGAUUGAGUAUGUAGGAUGGAGUUAGAGUUCGGAACCCAUAGAGGGCGAGAACAAUAUGCAUGGGAGAGUUUUCCAAAGGGAUAAUUCGGGAUGAUAAAUGCUAGUCGAGCGGUCCGGACAGACUGAAGGCCGGUGGGCGUACCAGUCAGGCCGAAGGCUCGGGGACGGUCCAGACAGGCUGAAGGCCCUGGAGGGCGGUCCAGAUAUGCUGAAGGUUCUGAGAGUGGUCCAGAUUGGCUGAAGGCCUGGUAAGGUGGUCCAGUCAUGCUGAAGACUCUACAUGUGUUGAUAGUUCUAUAUGAGGAGAUGGAAUGAGUAUGUUGCGAUGUGAUAGCAUCAGAAGGUCUGGCCCCGGGUAUUGAUCAUGAUUAGUGGAAGGUAGUGCAUGGACUCAAGAGUCCUUGCGAACAGAUUCAGAGCAUGUGUGGUGCAUGGGAUAGCGGUUAUGCUAUAAGGGAAUGGUGUAGCGUUGGGCGAGCACCGUGGCACUUGUUGUAGUGACAAGGCAGCCAAGUAGAUUUCCUUGGAUAAGGAAAGGGAAAGGUAUGUAGCUCCGAGAGGGAGUGUAAGUUCUCGGAAGCGAAAGCAGUAGCGCGGAGGUAUGAUUGAGGUGUUCCAAUCAUGGUUAUUGAGUAGUGUGUUUGCGCCGGUGGUAUGGAAUCACAUCCGGGUUGGAUGUCUGCGGAGGUCACGGAAGGAGUUCCGAAGGUGUAGAGCCAAAGAGACUCAGAUGGGAUGCAAGGAUGGAGCCUUGGAUUCCCAGUUUGGUGUGAUCAAGAUAUUAUGCAUGUAGCGGUAAUUCAUCCUGGGGGGAUGUUUGGAGGUGUCGUCAGUGCGUCGGGUUUUCCCAACCCGAGAAUACUAGAGCUAGUUCAACAUGUGUAUGUGAUGGCGGAGAAGAACUCAUGGGAGUUGCUCUAAAGCUGAAGGAUGCGUCAUCCUGUCAGCAUGGAAGGGAUAAAGUUGGACUCAGAAAGGGAGCAGGUUAAGUCUCAGUAGUGAAUUCGGUGAAGGAUAUGUUUGAUGAGGAAAAUGAUAGUAGUGCGGUACCGGGUCGGGAUCUCGGUGGUUCAAGGCUAUAUCUAGCUCGUAAGAGUCAAGUGAUUGUUGUGAUCUGGAACGAGUAAUGUACCAUGGAGUGGUACUUGGUUGAUAAGUGUGGUUAUCAGAGGAUGAAGUCGGUGGCCGGCUUGAGGCGGGGGUCAGGACACCGCAAGGGAUGAAUUGGGUUUCGGGUUUCGAUGGUAGUGUUUUGAGGAACCUGGUUUGGUUAAUGCCAGGUGGUCCAUUGCGAGAAUAGUUUCUGGAGUUGUGUUGCCGCAGGCUUCGAGGACGAAGCCUAAUUUAAGUGGGGGAGAAUUGUAACAUCCCAGAAUUCAGAAGUAAAGUGGAAGGGCUAAAGGUGUAAAUAAUAAGGUCGACUCGGUGAGUCGAGUCGCGUUACGGGUCGCGUGUUAAGUGACCAACUCGGCGAGUUGGUGCUGUGUGGAGAAAACCCUAAUCCUGGGGGUUGAGCCAUAUUUAAAGAACAUAAUACCCUCUCCCCAGCCUCUUUACUCUCCCUUGAAGUCCAGAAACCCUAACAUUCGUUUGUGAGAGAAUUAGAGAGCAUUUGGACCUUGAAGGAGUGUUUGUUGAAGAGAUCCUUGAAGAUUAAGAGGCUUGGAGCAAGGGGCUUUGCAAGGCUUUGGCUUAUUCUUCUGUUGGAGUCUUCUCUUGAGGUAAUGAUUCGUUGCUUGAGCUGUUAUCCAUCUAGAUCUAUCAUUUGUGGGAUUUUUGGGAGUAUAUCUAGUGCUAUCUUGAGCUUGGAGGUUGGAUCUGAGGUUGCUACCUCAGAUCUAGUGUAGUGAUGAUCCAAAGGAGCAUAAAGUCUCUGUUGAAGAGUUGUUGAUGAAGCGUUUUAGUCCCAAACCCUAGCCCUAGAGUAUAUUAUGCUUAGAUCUGCUUGGAUUCACGUAAAGUUUGCCGCUUUACAUGUUGGAUGGCUUGUAGAAGAGUAGAUCUAUUGAUUUGAGACCCUGCAUGGCUUGGAAAGCCUCUGUAUGGGUUAAGAGCUAGUGGUACUUAGCGAGUCACAUGGGUGUACUCGACGAGUUGCUUGAAGAUAGGCAGCAACUCGACGAGUUGGUUGAAGAUAGCCUUGGACUCGGCGAGUCUGGUCGUGAGGUCCUAACCUUUCCUGGUUGAGUUGUGAAUCGUUGAUUCAAGGGAUGACUCAGUGAGUUGAGUGUGAUUAGAUUCAGAGUUGUAGGACUCGACGACUCUUAGGGAGACUCGGCGAGUUGAUUCGUGUUAUGGGAGUUUAGAGNAGGGACUCGGCGAGUCAGCGGGCUGACUCGGCGAGUAGGGUCAGUCAGGAAGUUUGACUUUGACUGAGGACUUUGACUUUGACCAAGAGUUGACCAGUUGACUUCCAGGUGUAAUUUGGUAAUUAUUGGUAUUUAUUGAGUUCGAUCUUUUGGUAUUGUUAGUGGUGGAGUUCGUGUCAGAGGUUGGAGCAGCGUGAUCUUAUCUUUUCAGUCAGCAGUUUCGAGGUGAGUUAUCCUCACUAUAUCAACAUGGUCUAAGGCACCAAGGCCGGCCCUUUAUCGGAUUGUAAUCCGGGUAUCGUUGUUAUGUUAUUGCUUUGCUAUGUUUGCAUCCUGGUAGUUAGGAUGGUAUAUGCUAGUAACUGGUUAGGUCGGUAUCCUGGUUAGGGUGAUGUGAUGUUAUGUGAUCUGCUAGAUCGGUUUGAUUGGAUGCGAAUUGUUAUAUGAUUGUAUGUCUAUUUGCACAUGGUUGUUGUACUGGGGUUGGGUUGAGUCGGGUCCUGCUUUGUGCUAUAGGCCAACAUACCCAGGGCGGACCGGUUAACCCAAAGGCCCAACGAGUGGUCCGGAUAGGCUGUAGNAGGGCGGACCAGACGUGCCGAGGCUCAGAGAGUGGACCAGGCCGACUGAAGGCCCGGUGCGGGCGGACCAGUCAUACUGUAGACUCAGAGAGUGGACCAGGUAGGUUGAAGGCCCGGUGCGGGCGGACCAACCACACUGCAGACUCGAUGGAUAUGGCUAGACUCGGAGGGUGGACCAGGUGGACUGAAGGCCCGGUAGGGCGGACCAGUCACACAGUAGACCUGAAGUGCAUGGCUGUUCUGUUCGGUUAUGAUAUGUUAUGCGUGGUAUAUGUGGUUGGUAUUUUGGGGGUAUCUCACUAAGCUUUCGGGCUUACAGUUGUGGUUUAAUGUUUUCAGGUACUUCAGGAGACCGUGGCAAGGCAAAGGCGUGAUCGUACCGCUCCUCAUGUUUAUGUUUUAUGAUAUGGUUCUGGGAAGACUCUGAUUAUAAUUGUAUUGAAAACCUUUUUGUAAUGACUUAACGAAACUGGGUUGUUUUUGAAAAGUUUAAAUUGGCUUGAAUUUUUAGAGUGUUACAAGUUGGUAUCAGAGCCUUGGUUUGAGUGAAUUGGAGGAACAUUCGUGUGAAUCCAGUCUCAAAUCAAGGAGAGUUUUCAAAAGAGAAUUUAAAAUGGUUUUCAAAAUGAGUAAAAGAGGACGCGGAGGUACAAUCAACCGGAGCCAGUAAGUAGCCCCAAAAUACCAUGCAAGUUAUUUGUUUAUGUGAUAUGAUAGAACAACAUGCUAGUACUAGGCUAGGGAUCUUCAGGAAUUGCAUGAUAGUGUUGCCUGAUUUGUGAUGCCUGCUAGCCAAGGGUUUCUUUCUGUAUGAGAUUUCCAGUGUUCUCUAGGAGUGAGGGUUGAGUUCUUGGUAUGCAUGUUCUUCACUAGGGUAUUGUGGUGAUACUUGGUAUAAAUAUGGGUAGGUGUGGGAGGUAGUAUGGGCCCGUACUACUGAAAGCACAGGACCCAUAUGCGUAUCAAGGAAGUCACAACCCCUACGACGGUGUUGAGAGUCGGUUCCCGGGUUAGUGGGAGGUAUCUGAUGUUUGCGGUAUUUUCUUUCAGUAUGGUGGUUAGCAUGCUGGGAGUGGAUCCGAAUCAGGAUCGGGAGCAGGAGAGGGCGGUCAGGGUGGGUCAGCACCACCCGAGGUUAUUGUUCAGAUGAGCACAGACGAGUUGGAUGCUAGGAUUCGUGAGAUCCUCCAUGAUGAGGUUGCUGCGAUGUUCCGGAAAACAAUGCCUAUUGAAUUUUUGAAGUUCAUAUUUCUAAUACCAGAUGCUUUGAUAAGCCUUUAUCUAAGCUUCUUAAACUUAUGCACCUUUGCCUUAGAUAGCUCAUAUGUGUGUCUAAACAAUUCAGAAUUUAUAUCAAUAAGUCCUAAAUGUUAGAUUAAUUGCCAAAUCUUACAAUUCAAACUAUGGAAAGGGAUGCCGUAACAACAAUCGAAUUUGAGAAUACAAUUUUCACAAUUGCUAUCUUCUUAAAAUCUUUCUUAGUGAAAGCAUUUCCUCACAGUCAUUUUCAUGAAAGAGGGAAUCUUAUGACACUUAGAUUUUAUUGUGUAUGAGUUUCUAUCCAUAUGAAUUUGCUAAAACCAAGUUUGCGACAAAUCUAAACUCAUAUGGAUAUAACUUUCUUGAUUUCUAGCCUUAUGGUAACACGAGUGCCCACCAUGUCUUCCAAGUAGUUUAGCAACUUAUCCUUACAUAUCGGUGUACUUUCCAUCGAUCAAGUCGCUUUGUCUUUAUGCAUUCAAAUGAGAACUCAUAGAACUCACAUACAUAAUUAACUCAAUUGGAAUGACAUAGAAACAAAAUAAUGUCAACACGAUAGGUUGUAAACCUGAAGUCGUGUGCUAGUGAUGAUCGAUAAGGUUUAUUCUUGAUUUGUUCUUGAAACUUUUUCAAGAUCAUUAAAACUCCCACUAACCUCUUGACAUAUAUCAUUCUCUUGUCAGGAAACUUUCCUAGACAAAACAAAUAUUCAAGAGUUACUGUAGUUCUUAUCAUGACAAAAUACUUCACAUAAUUGGUUCUAGUUGGUCUUUGUCUUAUCCAAGACAACACAGCUUACCAAUUCCAAUUGUGCAAGAAUAAGAAAACUUUUCCAAAUUCCACAUUUGUUGAGUGUUAUAAACCUACUAAAGACAUGUCACUCAAUUCUCAAUCUUGGAGUAUGACUCUAAGAUUCGAUAUUGGAACGAAGUAUGAUUGACUUCUUGACUUAACCAUUUCCACAAUUCCUGAUUCCUCUUCUUAGACAUACAAAUGUACUAAGACUCACUUAGAUGACCAAUUGAGAUAUGGUUCUUAAUCAUUAAGACUUUAUCAUAAAACACAAUAAAAGGUACUCUCCAUUCUUCUUAGAAUAGAGAAACUUUUAUCUUUCUGCCUACUUGAUUCUUCUUAUUCAUUUUGGUAUUUAUUGAAACCUUUCCAAUCAACUCAGAAUUACACUUAAUGUUAUAAGUAUAAUCAUAUUUACUAAAAUUUAGUAAAUCAUGACGAAUAUCUUAGUCACUAUUGUGGUGGACUUGAUUGAUGCACAACAUUGCGAACUCGAUCUCCUAGUCCUUCACUUGACUCUUUGUCAACGAAUUAGUGUAAUUUCCAAAUAUGAAAUUUCUCAUUCAUCACGCAACCAAGUUGUAUGAUUCCAAGUUUCUGUCCAAUUGAAACUUGGGCGAUGAGAAAUUCUCCCUAUUUGGUAAAUUCUCGACAUUUCCACAAAUAACAUAAUUAAGAAUCAAAUCCAUUAUUGCUAAUAAUAGAAACUUUCAAACAUCAAUUUUUCAUACACGUCAUUGCAAGGAUAAAUAAAUAAGAUAAAUUCAAAAUUUAUUUUAUUGCGGAAAAAAUUUGUCCUUACAAUGCAAUUCAAUUGAAAAACUAUGUUAUUACAUAUUUCUCAGCAAUCUAUUCUAACUCCAAGUAGUAGCUCAAGAAUCCAAUCUUCAAGCAAUGCGAUCAAAAUCCAUUUCUUCAUGAUUAGAUUCAACUCACUUCUUCCCUUAAGCUUCCUCUCUUUUCUUCGAUCCUACAAAACAUCAAGAUGUAAUCUUAUCACAUCAUGUAUUAAGAAUCUAGAAUAGGAACUUAAAAGAGUUAGAUAAUGGAUUUCACCUGAAGUAUAGCCAUACGUCUUGACUCUCCCAUCUCUUAGAUCUCUCAGGUAAAUAGGGAAGCUUCGUCUCCAAUGCCCCUUCUCUUGGCAAUAAAAGCAAAUGGACUCUUUUGGAAUGACACAAGGAACUAUCUCAGAGUUUACCUUUUCUGGAUAUUCAAUGCCAUCAUUUUCAAUGUCCAUUGAAGUUUGGGAGUUUGAUUCACCAUACAAAUUUGCUUGACCAGCACGCCAAAUCAUUGCUGAUUCAGUAGCUAUAAGCAAAUAGGUGAGAUCAAUGAGGGUCACGUUGUGAUCCAUCAUAUAGUACUCUCUAACGAACUCACUAUAUGAUUUAGGAAGUGAUUGAAGAACCCAGUCAACAACCAAUAUCUCUGAGAUAUCGACACCCAACAUCCUUAACCUAAUAAUGUGUGACUUCAUCUCUAAGACGUGCGCACACAAAGACUUUCCAUCUUCAUGCUUAAUUGCCAAUAGGGCUUGAGUGAGCUUGAACUUUUCAAGCCUUCAAACUUGUGGGUUAGGAAGAACAAUUGGGGGAGGUGGAGGAAGUGAAGCAUAAUCUCUUGUUCCUCGAUCAUAUCGUGGAACAUCAUCUUCAUUUGGAAAGCUUGUUCCAUGAGAUUUAGGAAGACCAUGAUUGUCAGAACUAGACAUCUACAAAACGAGAGAAAAUUCUAGUUAGGUUAAUUAGAAUUAUUGAUGUAACACCCAAAUGAAACAUCAAGGCUAGGAUCCAACACAAUACUUUACAACCUAGAAGAGGGAUGCCGUAAUCUAGUCGCAGAAUAUUUGAAGGCAGGCAAAUGACGAUUUACCAAUUUCCACCAUGAAAAACGAAAAGGAAGUUUAAGUUUUAAAUGAAUUGAAACUCCUAGAUCUUUUGAGAUUCAUUGAACUUUUCAAUGAUAUUUUUAAAUCUCGAUUAUUCCCUUCUAUUUGUGACUGGGAUGCCGAGGAUCACAAAUAAGGUGUGAAUAACCAUACGAACCACAUGGUGCACCCAAUGCUACUAUCACCUAAUCUAUGUGCCGGUUAGCCACACAUGCUCCAUUGAUCUAUGAUAAGCAUCGAGCCACCCUUCACUACAAAUGUCAUCGCCAAAUUAGUGUGCCAGUUAACCACACACGCUCUACUAACGUUUGACAAGGGUACGAAGUGUAAUUCCAUGGACUAGCAUACAAUUUCACAUUUUGCCUAAAGUAACUAUGAUUUGGGAAUUUGUACAAGAAUUUAGUUACUUUUGUACUUCAUUAUACUUAUAAUGGAAGGUUUCUGUCCUAUCCUACCUUUUCGGCUAACAACCCUCCACUAGUCAAGAGUGCGGUGGGUAAGAGUGGAUACCCAUUCAAUUGCCAUUUUAUAGGCAAUUUCCUUAAACACCCCUUAUAGACCAGCUUCGUGAAUGAGGCCAGACUGACUUUUACUCAUAUAUAUAUAUAUAUAUAUAUAUAUAUAUAUAUAAUAUUAGACUUUUAAUGUUACACAUNNNNNNUAUAGGGUGUAUUUUACACUUUUAAAAUACUAGGUGGUCUAAUUUAAUAAAUUAUACUUUUAAUUUAAUUAAAUGCAAACCAAAAACUUUAUGUUUUUAUUAAAUCUCUUUUAAUUAUACACUUUAAUUAAUUAAUAAAACAUAAGGGUGUAAUUUGAACUUUUCAAAGUACUAGAGUUUUAGAAUUUAACAUUUCAAAAUUAAACUUUUAAUUAAAUUUUAAAUUCCAAAACUUGAGGGCAAGUUUUGAACAUUUCAAAACAUUAUGGUUCAACUAUUUAAAUUUCAAAACUAAAACUAUUUAGCUCAAAUUUAAACUAUGAAACCUAAAGGGUUAAUUUGAAACUUUUCCAAACUUUAUCAAGAACAUUCUAGAUCACAAAAUUCAAAUAAGGCAAUUAUCUAAUUUUGACCUAGUCCAAUUUCUUGCAAGAUAAUUCACCAAAUAAUUCAAAUAAUUAAAUUUUAUCAUAUAAGGAAAUAAUUAUUUAAUUAAUAUGAAGUUAUCAUUUAUUUUGGCAAGGAUAAUCACCCAAUAUCAUAAAAAUUUGCUUUAUAUCAAUAAAAAACGUUUUAGUAACUAUCCCACAACCAAAGAUGCACAAAAUCCCGAAAUUACCUUUUUCUGACCAGCUGACUCGUCGAGUCAAGCAUGGACUCGUCGAGUUCACCAUGGACUCGGCGAGUCCAGCCACCAGAAACCCUAAUUUUCUAUUUUAAGCAAGAAUAAUCCAUUAUAGCAUCAAAUUCACUAACAAACAACCCUAGUCUCUGAUACCACUGAUGAGUUUCGAGCAAUACAUCAAUCCUAUGGUGUACAUGAAAACCCUAAUAGCUUUUGGAUCUAGUUUGUCUAAUGAACAUGCAAUUGAAUAUCCAAAGCUAUAAACCCUAGAUCUAGCAUACAAUUAAUCAUAUUAACAUAAAAUAGGGUUUAGAUCUGACAUUUGAUUGUUAUAUAGCAAUAACAAUCAAUCCUUAGCUUCAGAAAGCUUAGUGCCUCAAGUGUUGCACCUCUAAUGGAGUCACAAACACCACUAAGCAACAAGAAUGAAGAGGAAAGAGAGGGAAGGCACCAAAAACGGCUGGAAACCCUAAUCCAAGUGUUAGCACCGUUUUUGGUGCAUAGACGGCCUUUAUAUACAUGUAGGCUAUUAGGGUUUACAAUUAGGAAACCCUAAUCUGGCUGCUUAAUCCCUAAGUAGCCCAUGGACUCCUUUAACAUAUCCCUUGGACGAAUUCUUAAUGGGAUUCCCAUAGAAUUCGUCCAACCUAUAUUAUUUAGGUAAUCCAUAGCCAAAUUGUAAUUAUCUUAUAAUUACAAAUCCAGUCCCCUAAGUUUAAUUAAUCUCUUUUAGCCACAAAAUUAAUUAUCAAUUAAUUCUUGACUAAUAUUAAUUAAACAAUAUGAUUUCUCUUUUAAUAUAUUAUUCUUAUAAUAUAUUAAUAAAUCACAAUUAAACCUUUCCCUCCUUAAUUCAUCCUACAUAUUGCUAUGGUGAAGGCAACCCAAAAGGACUAUGCUCAUAAUCGGGUCAAGUACAUACCAAAAUAGUUAUGGACUUAGACACUAAUCCAACAAUAAGCUUUAUACCUUCAAGAGCUUGAAAGGAUGAUGAAAAUUCUAGAUCUAGGAGCUUGAGCUUCUCCAACAUUCAAUGGAGGAAUUCUUCUUUUUCUAAGAGUACAAAAAUCCUACAAAAACACUUAAAGGUCACAAACUUUCAUUAAUGGUGGCUAGGGUUUCAAAUAAUUGCUUUUGGGUGAAAUGAGGCUGAGCAUGAAGAGGCCAAAAAGGGGAUAUACGGUGUUUAAAAGCGGGUCCAAACCCUAAAUUUAGGGUUUUGCACUCUGCAUGAGUACGCUAAGCGUACUCAUACGUACACCCAACGUACGCGAAAGAACCCACACCCAUAUUUAACGAGCCACGCUUAGCAUAACCAACCAUUACGCUUAGCGUAAUGGUUUUUCACAAAAAAAAUCAAUAUUUAAAGCUUUAGAAAUUUACCUCGGAAUCGCGUGUUACACUGAUGUUUCAUUAAACACUAUAUAAUAAGUAAUAGUCAUUUAGUAAGUGGUUCCUUUAUUAUUUCCUAUCACUAAGGUCCUUUGAACCAUCUUUGAUUCAUUACCCAAUUUUUAAGACAAAAAGAAUAUUGUAGUCUUUAUAUACAUCCUAUUUUUGAAACAAAAUAAUAUAUAUAUAUAUANAUAUAUUCUAGAUGGAAGUUAGGAACAAUAAUCUUUCCAAGUUUUCAGUUUUGGUCCUUUUAUUGGCUGAGAGACAACUUUGGUCCUUUUAUUUCUUCAACAUAAAACUAUCAUCAUAGUUCUGAAUAAUCAUAGUCAUUAUAUUUUCUUUGAACUAUAGAAUUGGACAUAAGGUAACUCAUUUUUGGCAAAUGAACACAACAAUUCUCCUUCAAACAAAAGCGGGUACCAAAUCAAAUACCUCACUAUUACUUUAAUAUGAAACUUAUUGUUAUCAGAUCAAAACCGGAUGCCAAAUAAGUCUCCAGCACCCACGUUGAUCUCUACGGUGGUAUUCAAUGGUCCAUGGAGCCGAAUGUUUGAUUUCCCAUUGAUUUGUGUUUAGAGGUGAUUUGAGUUCAGUGAAAAAUGGGUUUCAAGUCUAGGAUGGGUUUCAUGUCUAGGAUGUUUCUUGGGGCUUUAUUUGGAAUUGGGAUUAUGGUGGGUUGGCGCAGACAAAGAAGCAAAAUUCGUACUCCCAAGGUAAUUAGUUACCUCAUCAUCAAAUUUUUGUUAUGUUUGAUUAUUUUUUAUAUUGAGUUUGUCUAAAUUGUAAUAAUAGCUCAUUAUGGUUUCGUAUUAAGUAUUCACCUAUGACUUUGUUAUCUUAUUAGUUCUAAUGAUGACAUACAUUUGUUACGAUUUUAUUCGUUUUCACCAUUUAGCUGUAUUCUCUUUUUGUUUUCCAAUGUAACAAUCAAGUAGGAUCCACAACCUCAUCUUUCAUUUCUUUAAAAUUCCAAAAAGAUGAAAUGUUAAAAAAUACUUGAAGCCCUUCUGAUAUGUGGCAAGCAAGAUGGUGUUUGGAAAUGUGUUUUAAACUUGACAAUUAUAUAAUGAGUUAAUUUCUAUAGACAAAGACUCAAUGCACGUCUACUUUAUUUUUGUCGUUUGUUUGAAACUGCUUUUCAGUAUUGUACACAUUUGCUUUGUCAAGCUUUUAGGAACUAAUAAUAGCAAAAACAAUCGCAACGGAUAAAGAUAACUAUAAAGGAGCUAUUGAAGUCUCUUCAAAGAAUCAGUAAGUACCAUGAAGCUAUUUUUAAUUAUUUUUAUCUUAUGUUGUUUAUUUUUUUUAUGACAAUUCAUGUAAUAAUAGUGAUAAAUAAUACUUUUCGUUUUAUGAACACCAGGUUCAAAUUUGAAACAAUAAAUAACAAUGACAUUUUUAUAAAAAUCAAGUCCAAAUUUGAAAUGUAUACUUGAGGAUACACAAUAAAUAACAAUGACCUUUUUAUAAAAACCAAGUCCAAAUUUGAAACGUAUACUUGAUGAUACACAAUAAAUAACAAUGACCUUUUUAUAAAAACCAAGUCCAAAUUUGAAAUGUAUACUUGAUGAUACAUGUGCCGAAAUCGAUUCUUGCUCAUCAGAUUUUUGGGUGAUGGUUGCAACAUUGAAGGUAGUUUAAUUCUUCAUUUAUAUUUCAUUUUCCUUUAAUUCAUUUUUUGUUAAUUAAAUGAAAAAAAAUAUAUUUUAGGAGUUCAUUCGUAAUGAAGGUGGUGGUGAAUCAACAAUUAUAAGCAUUAUACUGAUUUUCCUUAAAUAAGAAUAUCCUACAUAAGUUGGAAAUGAACAGAAGGUAGUUGCAAUUGCAAAUGAUGAUGUUUUAGAUAAUUACUGAAAGGUACUACAUUGAUGAUUAUGCAUCUUAUAUCAUCAUGUAUACCAUUAUCACCUAUACGUAAUUUCUUAUCCUUUAUUGCAGCCACGUUCUUACGAUAUGCAUAUCAAAAGUGGAUGAAAAAAAAGAGGUCAAACCUUAGUUUGCAUUUAUGGCCAUUGGCCAUAAAGGUAUUCUUUUCAAAACGUUGUAGAACAUUUUCUUUAUGUACUAUAAACUCUGAAAGUUGUUAAAUGUUUAUAUCCCAUUGUAAAUUAGUGUUAAAAAACUAAUAUAAAAAAUCUUUAAAAAAAAAACGACCCAGACCUUUUUUAUUAAUUCCUUAUCGACUUAAUAUUUUGCUCCUCACAAUUUUACUGUUUAACGUCUCGAUCAUCAAAUACAACUUGUUGUCACGACAUCACGUGAUCUUUCACGAUCAUAAAAACUAAUUUAAUUUGAUGAACAAAUCGAAAACUUCAAUCACAGCUCUUACUAAAUUAUUAAAUACUGAGCCUGUAAAAGAUCAAAAUUGCCAGUUUUAAAGUCGAUUACACUACGAACGAAUAAUACAAAACUAUAAAUCGAAACAAAAAUCACAAAUCCCACAAUAAAAUUUUAAAAUUCAAACUUCAGUAAUUACAUCAGAAACAUAUAAAUCAAACCAUAAACAUGAAGAUGAACAUGGAGAAGAAACUGCAAAUCAUUUUUUAAUAUGCUUGGCCUAUAAAAUCGAAAACUGAUCGCGAUAGAAUCAAUUGAAUAUAAACAGGGUAGAGAAAUCAUUUGCGAAGGUGCUUGAUCUUAAACCAGCCUUUUUUGAGGGAAUUUGUAAUAGUCUUCCCCCCCUUACUGAAGAACCUCUUGAUCUCAUAACCUCUCAUCUUCGCUUGCGAUUCAAAACUACCCAUCGUUGUUGUUCUUGUUCUUGAAGGUUCGAGUUGGAAGAUUGGAGAGAGAAUGUGAAGGGAGCUUUUGUAGAACAAUGGAGAAAGGGGAUAUUUUUGAGAUAGUUUUUAUAAGAAACGCGGUCCAAUCAUAUUAAACCACGCCACGCGUUAUUCAUUGGUGCACAUCGUUUCCCACUUCGUCGACCUUAAUAAUGUAAGUCCACUUGUAGAAAACAGUUUGAUUUUAGACAAAACUUUAAAAAUGGUCCCCGUGGUUUUCGAAAAUAUCAAUUUUAGUUCUUAAGUUAAAAAAACCUCACAGAUGGUCCCUAUGGUUUCAAAACUUUUAAUAAAUGGUCAUUUUCGCUAACUCCGUUAGCUUUUAGCCGUUAAGUGAAGGGCAUUUCUGUCAUUUCACAAUCACAGAGACCAUUUAUGAAGUUUUGCCUCUUUUAAAAAAAAAAAGAAAAAAAAUAUAAUUUUUUAAUAUUAAAUGGUCUCUCUCUCUCUCUCUCUCUCUCUCUCCAUUAGACUGCCAAGACCUCUUCUCUCUCAUCUUCCUAUUCGAGUCCGGAAACUCGCUAAAGCCCGAUUAAGCAAGCGCGCCAUCGAGCGCCGGUCGUGGGCGAAGUUUGGUGAUGCCGUUCAUGAAGAAGUCGGUUCUCGGCUCACCAUGGUUUCGAACAAAGAGAUCUUGCUUGAACGACCUAGGGCUCCUGGUUUGUCUCUACCCUCUUAACAUUUUCUGUUAUCUCAUUGAUGAAGUAUGAAAUUUGUGUGUUCUUAUAUUUCCAUCGACAAUUCCACUGUCAAAUUCGUUUCAGUUUCAUGAAAUCAUAUACAUUCCUCUUCCUCCGAUUGCGAUAAAUUCAUCAGUCGAAUAUAAUUAUCGGAUUUGGUGUUAAACCUUGAAAAACCGAUCUGUAUAUUCAUUUCGCUUUUCAAAAUGGACUAAUUCUGUGUUUUUCGUGUUGAAAUUUUGAUAGGUUCGAAGGGAGAAGAAAAGGCUACCGGAGACGACUUAGGAUAGCUGAGCAAAGGCGGCGCUGUACUCAUGGUAUGCAAAACUUGUGGCAAAAAAGGCGAUCACUGGACAUCACAGAACUUGCUGCCAUGGUAGUAAAGAUUUUUGGGGGAUUUUGAUCUGGAUUUAGAUUUGGAUUUUGAAUUGGAUUUGGAUUUUGCAACUGUAAUUCUUGAAUUGGGUUUUCCUUUACCAUUUGAGGAAGAGUGUGAGGUUUGAUUUUGAUCUGGUUGGAUUUUGUUGAUGAUAUUUGUGAGGUGGAUGGAAACAGGGUGUUUUGUUUGUUCACUAGCAGUUAUGACCAUACUGGGGAAAGCUUUACUAUCUCGAUAUUGAUAGUUUAAUAAAUCGGUUGGAAAGUGGGGAAUAUAAGUCGUGCAUUGAAGGUGUUCGACGAAUUGCUUGAGAGAACAUUCAGAAUCUUGAGACACUGCAUCAGAUUUUCCAAUGAACGGAUCCCUUCAAAGUUUAGUGAGAGAGAGUGUGUGAUUGGGUUCUUGAUGGUCGUCGGUAGAGAGAGAGAGAGAGAGAGAGAGAGAGAGAGAGAGAGACCAUUUAAUAUUAAAUAAUUAUAUUUUUUUCUUUUUAAAAAAAAAAGAGGCAAAACUUCAUAAAUGGUCUCUGUGAUUGUGAAAUGACAGAAAUGUCUUUCACUUAACGGCUAAAAACUAACGGAGUUAGCGAAAAAGACCAUGUGUUAAAA